rnacentral:miRNA from 1 species
GACGUCGAUAUUCGACGUCAUAAACACGAUCAACUUUGGUGUUUAUGACGUCGAUAUUCGACAUCAUAAACACGAUCAACUUUGGUGUUUAUGACGUCGAUAUUCGACGUCAUAAACACGAUCAACUUUGGUGUUUAUGACGUCGAUAUUCGACGUCAUAAACACGCUCAACUUUGGUGUUUAUGACGUCGAUAUUCGGCGUCAUAAACACGAUCAACUUUGGUGUUGAUGACGUCGAUAUUCGACGUC